AUUGAACGCUGGCGGCAGGCCUAACACAUGCAAGUCGAACGGUAACAGGAAGAAGCUUGCUUCUUUGCUGACGAGUGGCGGACGGGUGAGUAAUGUCUGGGAAACUGCCUGAUGGAGGGGGAUAACUACUGGAAACGGUAGCUAAUACCGCAUAACGUCGCAAGACCAAAGAGGGGGACCUUCGGGCCUCUUGCCAUCGGAUGUGCCCAGAUGGGAUUAGCUAGUAGGUGGGGUAACGGCUCACCUAGGCGACGAUCCCUAGCUGGUCUGAGAGGAUGACCAGCGACACUGGAACUGAGACACGGUCCAGACUCCUACGGGAGGCAGCAGUGGGGAAUAUUGCACAAUGGGCGCAAGCCUGAUGCAGCCAUGCCGCGUGUAUGAAGAAGGCCUUCGGGUUGUAAAGUACUUUCAGCGGGGAGGAAGGGAGUAAAGUUAAUACCUUUACUCAUUGACGUUACCCGCAGAAGAAGCACCGGCUAACUCCGUG
rnacentral:rRNA from 1 species